UUUUGCCUUCUCAAUCUCCCCCCCCCUUUUUUUUUUAAGGGACAGCGAUGCAGAGGGGAACAACACACGACACGGAUGGAAAGUCAAGAAGCCACACAAGACAAGACACGGACGGACACCAAUUGCCAAGACACAGAAACGCAGCUUCGGGUACAGAACCAAAUCCUCGCCGAUCUCCAGCGCUUGUUCUGCGGCGGGCAGAAAGAAGCCAAAAGAAGGCAGGGGAAAACAAAACAAUCCACGCCGAGGCUACUUCAGCCGCUCCGGUUGCGGCACAACUGUAAUGUGUAGCGAGGCGGCUGAGUGGUGCGUUGUUGGGUUUUUUUUUUCUUUCUCUCUCUCUCUCCCCUUUUGCCGCAGUCCAGCGUGUGUGUCUGUGUGCGUGCACGCGCACGCGUGUGUGGCAGAGCUUGAGUGUGCGGAGUGGUUUUUUUUUUUUUUUUUUUUUUAAAUAUUCCUCUGAACGAUGGACGUGGCAACGCGGAGGAGAAUCCAGCCAACAAAGAUGGAUAAAGAUCUCCCAAAUUUUACGCAGCGAUCCUGAGCGGCGUCCCGCGAAUCACUUCCCCAAAGCUGAAGCUCUAAGUCGCUGGAGACGGCGGUGGUGGGGGCAAAGCUGCACCUCCUUCCUAACCCUGUUAUUAUUAUUAUUAUUCCUCCCGGGCAAAUUAGGCAAAUCCCACGCAGCUUCCCAUCCAAGAGAAGAGCGCUGGUCCUUACAGUGGGAAAGCGCUUUGGAGCGCAGACUGAAACGGGGGUGCGCGGUGGGGCCGAGAGGGGAGACGGGCUCCAGACAACAGAAUCGGGCACGUAGGUAGGAGGCUGAAACUGACGCGGACGCCGCUCGUGUCAGAAUCCGGGUAAUUGCACCCCUCCGGCGCCACUCAUCUCGCACAUACACACGCACACGCAGGCGGGGGAGCGGAGAGGAAGGCUGGUCGGCUGCGGACCGAGCCGGGUUGGGGGAAAGGGUAUACACAACGAAGUCCUAUGCUGCCUGAAGACGGUAUUUUGACAGCAGAGGAACACUUUGUGAAGAGCCCACACGUCCCUUUUUGGAAGAUGAUCUUAUGGAAAAAAACAUGAUUCAGCAGAUUGGAAUAUCCAUUGGUGGCACCAGGGUUCCAAGCAAUCUCUAAACAAGCUAUAACAAUAGCCAUGGUGGUGCAGUGGUUAGAAUGCAAUACUGCAGGCUAAUUCAACUCACUGCCAGUAGUUCGAUCUUCACAGCUUCAAGGUUGACUCAUCCUUCCGAGGUACACUGUAUAUCUAUUCCAAGUUCACACUACAUAUACGGAUGGAAAUGCAAAUUUGGAAAUGGAAACUCAAGCACUUUCCAUGGGAAGCAAUGGAAAAGCAAUAUAUUUGGAUGUACAUUUAAUCAGUCCCGUGGUUCAUUGAUUCUGUGAGUCUUUGAACACUGCAAAAGGUUUUUCAUGUUAUAAUAAUAUAUGUCAACAAAGGAGCUUUUGUGCAUUUAUCUUCUCCAAAGCAUUCCCUCAACAUGCUUGUAAUACCUUUGAGAACAGUUAAAAAAGAAAAAGAAAAAAAAAGUUCAGGCAUCUUUCUCCAAAUCGCGUGUAUUUCAGGUGAAUUCAAUGUCUUAUUCAAUCAUUAGACUAGAGGAAGAGUCUAAAGCAGUGGUGUUUAACCUUGGCAAUGUUAAGACCAUUGGACUUCAACUCCCAGAAUUCCCCAGCCAGCCAGGUAAAAAUUUCACACCAGUUUUGCCCCAGACAUUUUCUGUCCCAGCACAAUGUAUACAUUGACAAAUUCUGCAGUCAAGGAGCCUUGUCUGUAUUGUGCAUUGUAUUGCUUUUUGUGAGCCUGAACCCUGCAGUACAACUUUUUAGCCAACCUGGAAAGCUUUUUAUUAUUUUUUUUCCUUCUACUGUAUGUUUAAAUAUUUCCUCUCUGCAAGUGGAGGGAUAGGAGAGACUAUAGAUAGGUUUACAGGAUAAGAAAUGGCUUCUUUGAGCUGAACAAGCCAUGGAAUCAUGGUUCAUGUAGGGUACUACAGUCAGUUCUUAAUUUAUGAUCACAGCUGGGACUAGAAUUUCCAUUGUUAACCAAGGCACACCCAAUUUUACAAUCUUUUUUGCCACCUUUUUAAGCAAAUCGCUGCAGUUGUUAAGUAAAUCACAUGGUCUGUAAAUGAAUCUGGCUGUAAAUGAAUCUUGACUUUGCCUGUCAGGAGCCAGCUGAGAAAGUCACAUAUGGAAAUCGCAUGACCCAAGGAUGCUGCAACCAUCGUAAAUACAUGCCAGUUGCCAAGCACCUGAAUUUUGAUUGCUGUAUGUGACUGUGAGUAUGCUGUGAUAGUUGUAAGGGUGAGUACUGAUGGUAAGUCAACUUUUUUUUAGUGCCAUUGAAAUUUUGAAUGAUCACUAAACAGUUAUAAGUCAAGGACUACUCGUAUACAAACCACAAUAUGACACUUCCUUCUUUAUUUUCUUUCUUCAGGUCUUUUGCUCAAUGCUUUUCACAUCUGGAUUAGUCCUGGAAAUAGCUGCAAACAGUUGUGUCAUCUAACAGAAGCCAAUCUGUUACAUUUGAGAAAAUCAACCCAGUGGAAAGUGAAGGAACCAUUUUUUUUUUAGAAAGAAAAAAUUGGAACAAUCUUAAUAUUUGUUACCCUUUGCUCGGGAGCAACCUUAUUUUAUUCCUACGAUGAGUAAAAGAAGAAAAUAUUGUGUGUAUUUUUUAUGCCUAUUAAAUAAAAAAAGGAAGAAAAAAUAAUCCAGGCAACAAUUUUAAAACAGCUAGCCCAUUGAUUUAUAAACUCUCCUUUAUGUUACUAUAAGUAUUUAAUUACCUUCAAAGGCAAAUUUGCACUAGAAGAAAGAAGCUGGCAUAGAACAGAGGUAUCACCGCAAGAGUUUCGCCUACUAGAAGAACAGUUGUAGGAAUUGGGUAUGCCUAGUUUAAUGAAAUAUAGGACUAGAGGGUGACAUGAUAGCAGUAUUUCCAUGUUUGAGGGGCUGCCACAAAGA